GACAGAGGCCUCAAGCGUUAGGCGAGAAUCACUGGGCUUAAAGCGUGUGUAGGCGGAUCGUUAAGUGUCUUGUGAAAUCCCACGGCUCACCCGUGGAACUGCUGGGCAUACUGGCGAUCUUGGGCCAACUAGGGGCAACUGGAACAAGCGGUGGAGCGGUGAAAUGCGUAGAUAUCGCUUGGAACGCCAAAGGUGAAAACAGGUUGCUGGGGUUGUGCCGACGCUGAGACACGAAAGCCAGGGGAGCAAACGGG
rnacentral:rRNA from 1 species